CCUACGGGAGGCAGCAGUGAGGAAUAUUGGUCAAUGGGCGCGAGCCUGAACCAGCCAAGUCGCGUGAGGGAGGACGGCCCUACGGGUUGUAAACUUCUUUUAUAUGGGAAUAAAAUGUUCCACGUGUGGGAUUUUGUAUGUACCAUAUGAAUAAGGAUCGGCUAACUCCGUGCCAGCAGCCGCGGUAAUAUGGAGGAUCCGAGCGUUAUCCGGAUUUAUUGGGUUUAAAGGGAGCGUAGGUGGAUUGUUAAGUCAGUUGUGAAAGUUUGCGGCUCAACCGUAAAAUUGCAGUUGAAACUGGCAGUCUUGAGUACAGUAGAGGUGGGCGGAAUUCGUGGUGUAGCGGUGAAAUGCUUAGAUAUCACGAAGAACUCCGAUUGCGAAGGCAGCUCACUGGACUGCAACUGACACUGAGGCUCGAAAGUGUGGGUAUCAAACAGGAUUAGAUACCCCUGUAGUC
rnacentral:rRNA from 1 species